UACAGAGGUCCCAAGCGUUGUUCGGAUUCAUUGGGCGUAAAGGGUGCGUAGGCGGCGCGGUAAGUCGGGUGUGAAAUCUCGGAGCUUAACUCCGAAACUGCAUUCGAUACUGCCGUGCUUGAGGACUGGAGAGGAGACUGGAAUUACGGUGUAGCGGUGAAAUGCGCAGAUAUCAGGAGGAACACCCGGUGGCGAAGGCGGGUCUCUGGGCCGAUACUG
rnacentral:rRNA from 1 species